rnacentral:rRNA from 1 species
AAUGUGAACGUUACCAAACUGUUGCCUCGGCGGGAUCUCUGCCCCGGGUGCGUCGCAGCCCCGGACCAAGGCGCCCGCCGGAGGACCAACCAAAACUCUUAUUGUAUACCCCCUCGCGGGUUUUUUUAUAAUCUGAGCCUUCUCGGCGCCUCUCGUAGGCGUUUCGAAAAUGAAUCAAAACUUUCAACAACGGAUCUCUUGGUUCUGGCAUCGAUGAAGAACGCAGCGAAAUGCGAUAAGUAAUGUGAAUUGCAGAAUUCAGUGAAUCAUCGAAUCUUUGAACGCACAUUGCGCCCGCCAGUAUUCUGGCGGGCAUGCCUGUCCGAGCGUCAUUUCAACCCUCGAACCCCUCCGGGGGGUCGGCGUUGGGGAUCGGCCCUGCCUUGGCGGUGGCCGUCUCCGAAAUACAGUGGCGGUCUCGCCGCAGCCUCUCCUGCGCAGUAGUUUGCACACUCGCAUCGGGAGCGCGGCGCGUCCACAGCCGUUAAACACCCAACUUCUGAAAUGUUGACCUCGGAUCAGGUAGGAAUACCCGCUGAACUUAAGCAUAUCAUAACUCGGA